rnacentral:rRNA from 1 species
AAAGUGUUUCUAGAAUU